AACGCACGAGACCUGCGGACCUGCGGAGGGAUCAUUAACAAAAAGGAUGCGCAAGCAUUCUGGACCGCGUCAGCGGGACAGUGGGGGCGAGGGGAAGGGCAUUGAGUUGAGGACGCAGUCUUUGAUUCGGGCCUUUCCUUUCAUCACAAGAGGGCGCCUGUGAGGGCGUUCGCUCUUGCGAGUGGGCAAAGCAUCUAGCUAGCCUGUCUUGCAAGAGACUGAGACGAGAGUGAGUUGAGC
rnacentral:misc_RNA from 1 species